UGGGAGUCUGACUCUUAGAGGCCAUCAAAGGUUAGAAAAAUCCUUGCCUCCACUUCUAUUUAAGAAUACCCCUCCCCCAUUUGAGCCUCACCAUCCACGAUUAUUGAUCACUACUGCUCUCUCUCUCAUUCCUCUCAAGAGCCACUACCUAGGUUUAUGGUGUUUGCUGAAAUCACAGCCAAAACCCUCACAUAUAAAGCCCCC
rnacentral:lncRNA from 1 species